rnacentral:lncRNA from 1 species
CUGGGAUAUUUGACUCCUAACACAGGAUCCUUUCUACUCUACUGAGCUACACAUUUAUUCUGAUGGGCAAAGACACUUUAGCGAUGUUUGAUAUGGGCAAUGAUUCAACUCAUCACAUGACUCUGCUUUCGCCUUUAGGUAGAUUGAUAUACCUCAAAGUAAUUCGCAUCUACAAUUGUUAAACUGAGAUCUGAGUGAUGUUGGGACCAGGCUUUGUGAGUUGCCCUUCACUGGCAAGCUUCGCUUUAACACAGCAAAGUCUAUCCUGCCUGUACCUGAAUUGCCCUCUUGAAACAAGUAACCAGUGUCAUCUUUCUCUUGAACGGGCUGGCACUGCUGUGAUAUCAGUGAUCACGUGAUAUUCCAAAAGGCAACUGUGAUCUCUAGCUUCAAGGUGUUAGCAAUCCAUUUGGAGAAAAUGAAGUUUGUUGUUAAGCUCCUGGCAGUUUCUAGCAGAGCUGGAUUGAACAAUAGGGUCCUUAAAUCACCUGGAAUAUCCCUGAGUACUGCAUAAAUGUUACUCAAUAUUUAAACUGGAUAAGACGUCACAGAACCUCAGGUUUCACAAAAGCAGAGCUUCAAUUGUCAAAGGUAUUGGGAUCUUGGGAAUUAUUUAGAUAGGUUACCUUAUUUUGGAAAGGAAGAAUUUACCCACCAUUUCUGUGGGCAGGGGAAGUGGGGAAUGGGAGCUAGAGUUUCAUUAGUUAAUUUGCUUUAAGGAACUACAGAAGUAAACAGAUGCUUGGCAAGCACCAACCACAUAAGAGGCAACAUGCAUUUUCUAAAUGCAUGUGGAUGUUCCUCUGUAUAACUUCAGACUAUCCCAGCAUCAUUUCAUAAGCAAGUAUCCCAGCCCUCAGAAAUGUUGGGAACCAAUAGGGAGGCAAUAAUAUGUAGCAGCCUUUCCUUCCCUUUCUUGGCUCCACAUCCUAGUCCAGUGCCAUUAUCCACCAGCUUCUCUGGCCCACUUUUCACAUGGUCAUCACUGACUAUGGCAUAUAUAUCUAUAUCUACUCUAUCUAUCUAUCUAUCUAUCUUCUAUCUAUUGAUAUCUAUAUCUAUAUCCAGAACGUAGUUCUUUUCCCAGCCCCAGACAAGGUGGGGAAUAGCCUGACUCUCUCUCCUUCUACCUUCAAAUUGCAAGAUAUUGUUUUUGUAUGUCUCAUCUCUUUCAAGGCUGCCUCAGCAUUCAGCAUAACCUGAGCUGACUUGGGUAAGAGCAUGAGUUAGGAGAAGGUCCUCAGAGAAUUAUAAUCCUGAGUCCAGACCUUCCAGAGAGGAGCCAGGCUGCAGAGCUUCCUAAGGCAAAAAUCGUCUGAUACAAUUUAAGAAGUAGAACUCUCACCAGCUUGGGGAGAAAGCAAAAAAUGCCAGUAAGCUGCUUCUCACUGAGCACAUAAAACAGUGGCACCCAAAAGCUUGUUUUCUGUUUAAUAAAUUAAAGAAAUCCAUCACAAAUGGAACCCAGGGCUGAGUGACCACAUCAUAGUUGACUCAGUGGGUGUGAUGAAUAAAUUGCCUGUUUUAUGAUUGAGACAUUCCCCAAAGUAACAUUAAAGUAAUGAAAAUUGUGAGGGAUUGUUCUUUCUAGAGAAAGAGGAUGCUACUGACCUACCAACAGCAGCCAAAAAUGUUUUCAACAGUGAGAAAGGAUUUACAAUGUUACAAAUGAGAACUAAUUGAAAGUGCUGACCCAUAGCUGUGAAGCAGAGCCCAUCCCACAGACGUUUGAGCUGCAUUAGUGGGCAUUCCCAACCAUCAUCCCUGCCACAGCAACUUCCAUUCUUUUACACUCAAAAAGGAGUAUGCAGGUUUGAUGAAACCUCCAGAUGAUUAGUGCUUGACGCCUCCCCCCAUACACACAAAAGCAGCUGGCCUUCAAUAAACUUACAACUGUGUAAGCAAUAAAAUCAUAUAUUGAAAUAAUACAUACACGUGCAAUAUUGUAUUAAAACACACAGAAAGGGAAAUGACUAAUUCUUAAUUAAAUAUUUUCCAAAGAAAUCUCCAUAUUUCUAGAUUGCCAUUCUCUAGAUAAUAAGUUAAACAAAUAUGUAUUGUAACCCACGCAGAGGUGAAAGGUAUUUUACUGGUAGCAUUUUAAUAUGGGAGGGCAGUGAACUUUUGUUUGGGGCUCUGAGGCAGUAGUUUGUAUCAGACUCAUCCUUUGAUGGAAGAACUAUAAAAACCAUUUUUUUUUUAAAGUAAAUUCUGUCUGAAUAUUACAGAAAAACAAAACAAAACAAAACCAUGCAGUCAAGAGUUGAGGAUUCUGGAUCCCAAAUCCUUGAGAAAUUUGCCAGGAUCCAGAGAAAGGGUGAUGCUUGGAUGUGAGCCCCACAAGCCCUUGGGGAAGAGUCUGACUUGGGGCACAGGGCAUGGAAACAAAACAGAAAACAGGAGCAUGGACUUUGCAGUGCUCUCACUACACUGCAGAGAUAAAAAUCAAACUUUUCAUUGAGGAAGCAAGAAAGUAUUUGGAAAUGAGUGACAUGUGUGCAGUGCAGAAAGAGUAGUGCUUAAGGGGGAAAUUUUAAAGCUUUAAAUGAAUUUACUAGAAGAGGGAGGGGAAAAAAAAAACCUAAAAAUCAGUGAUCUAAUAAGCAUCCAACUCAAAAAAUCUAGAAGAACAAAUUAAGCAUAUUAAAUAAAAAGGAUGAGAAGGAAAUAGCAAUUUUAAAAAAAGAGAUCAGUACUUAGUGAAAUAAAAACAAAUCCUCAACUGGAACAAUUUAAGGGCCAAAUGUUGGUUCUUUGAAAAUAUUAAUAUAAUUUCUAAAUCUCCAGAAAUACAGAUCUAAAAAAGUAAAGAGAAGGGAGAUGUUAGAAACAAAUUAUUAAUAUCAAGAAUAAAAAUAGGAAUUUUUAACCCACUGUGGCACAGCAGGAACUCCCAAAACUGAUUUAAAUAAAGAAGUAGAAAGUUCAAAUAAUGCUAUUACCUAUGAAAAGACUGAUUUUUAAACCUUCCCACAAAGAAAACUCUGGACACAGAUGCUUAAAAGAGAAUCAUUCUAAAUACUUUGUGAAGCAAAAAUUUCAAUCUUGCACAAACUUUUUAGAGUCUAGACAUAGGGAGAAUACUUCCCAACUCAUGUUACGAGACCAUCACAAUCUUGACAAUGACACCAGAUAAAGACAUUAUAAAGAAAAAUUAUAAAUCAAUCUUUCCUGUGUACAGAGGUACAAACAUACUAAAUAAAAGAGUAGCACGGUGAACCCAACAUUAUGGAAAAGCAUCAUAUAUCCCCAUGAAAUUGGGUUUAAACCAAGAAUGUAAGGUCAAUUUAUUGCUCUGAAAUCAAUUACUGUAAUUCAUUACACCCAUCCAUUACACUUAAGAACAAAAGCAUGUAACCGUUUCAAUAAAUGCAAAAGAACAAGUAAAUAAAAACAUUAUGACCAUUCAUGACUGAAAUAAAACAAGGCAACAACAAAUUCCUCAUAGAAAAAUAGACAGAGGGAAUUUUUUUGUAUGAAAAGGAGUUUCUUCAAAGAAAAUGUAUAGCAAAAUCAUACGUGAAAUACUAGAAAAUUUCUUCCUGAGAUAAGAAUAUCUCAGGAGAUAAGGAUAGCCCCAUUGCCAUUUAACGGUGUCCUGGAAGUCCUUCCAAUGCCAUAAAGCAAGAAUAAGAAAUAAAAUAUACAUAGAUUGAAGAGGAGAUAUGAAAGUGUACAUAGAAAAUCCAAAAGAUAAACUAUUAGAAUCAGUAAGUGAAUUUAUCCAAGUCAGUGGAUAUAAAGUAAAUAUGCAAAAUAAACCAUACACAUAAAAUACCCACAAAUAAUGAGAAAAUAAGAUUAACAUAAAUUUUAAGUAUCUAGUAUUAUACUAAUAGUUAUGUGCAAGAAGGAAACAUUUUGAAAAGAAAUUAAAGACGACCUAAAUCAAUAUAGCAUAUAUCGUGUCCAUGAAUCAGAUGACAAAAGCGUAGGAAAGCCAUUCGGCUCCAUAUUGAUUUAUAAAUUCUAUGCACUCCUAAUCAAAAUCUCAAGAGGUAUUUUUGUGAAGUUUGAAAAGUUGAUUUAAAUCAAUGUGGAAAUGUUAAAGACCAAGAGUAGCCAUGACACAGUCCUGGAAGAAGAAAGACAAAGUUGAUGGCCUUAUUACUGGUUAAAGGAUAGAUGAUAAAUAUAUUGAACAAAAUAUUCCAGAAACAUACGCGUAUAUCUACAAAUACUUCACUGACGACAAAGUGUCAUCACAAGUAGUGAAAAUGAUCAUUGCUUUUGCAUUUCUUCCCAAUAAAUGGUGCUGUGUGAAUUCGAUGUCCACACAGGGAAAGAAAAAAUGAGUCUUGAAUCUCACCUCACUAUCUUAUAUCAUACACAAAAAAUUAAUUCCAGAUGCAACAGAUUUCAAUAUAAAAAGUAAAUAAUAUAUUUUCUGGAAAAUAAUAUAAGAAGAUAUAGUCACGAGCUUAGGAUGGGCAAAGAUCUUUUAAAUAGGCUAUGAAAACACUAUUCAUAAGAAAAUGAUAGAUAAGCUAGACUUCAUUAAUUUCAGAACAGCUGGACCAUUGAUGCUCUCCCCUUUCAUGUUCUAAAAGAAUCUGGACUAUCCAACUUUUUAAAUUCAUAAUUAUUUAAAUUUUUCAAAAACCAACAUAUAGGUGAAUUAACUAUGUCUAAUUAACAGAAACUUUGUGCCCCCGCCAAAAAAAUCAAAACCUUGACCAUUUCAAGAACAUGGAAUUGCUCAAUAGAAAUGCAAGAGACAGUUAUUUGAUUAUAAUUCAGCAAAUCCUAUUUCAAGUAAUAUAGUAGGGAGCUAAGUCUAUUCUAUAGAAAGCAAUUUAAGACUCAAAAGUGCUUUAAAAGGGAAAAGUUAAUCAAAAUGUCUAUGAACAUCUGGCUUCACUCUUUUUUUAGUUAGGCUUGUCUGAAGCACAGUUCCGACAGAACUAACCCAUUCAGGCGCAGCCUAAAAAUGGAGCCAACUAAACACUGAAAGACUAUCAGAGAAAAGGCAAGUGACUGUAUGAAAUGUGUACAGAGAUUCUGUCUCAGAGAACAAAGCCCAGAGGAAUGUCUUCAAUAUUUAUCAUAGAAGGUAGACUUUAGAGCUCCAUCUUAAAUCAUUACCUAUAGUUAAUAGAUCCUUUUAUUAAACUGUGUGUGUGUUGAGGGAAGCACGAUCUAAUUCCAAGAAUAGGAAGAGAAUAAGAACAACACUCUGUCCUCUGAAAGCCAUGAGUAAUUCACAUUCAUAUGUAUAAAUAAAACAGUCCUCCACUACAAGACUAUGCAAUUUUUCAAAAAAGGGAAAAAAUGGGGGGGGGUGGCUUCAUGCAUUAUAAAGCAAAAAGAUAGAGCUGCAAGAUAAUAGGUUCGACAGGCAGUAUUGGCUACGUAAUUUGUACACCUGAUGCCAAAUGAAAAUGGAAGGCCCCUUGUUCAAAAAUGAUUUAGCGUUUCGACAGUUGGCGAUAGCAGAGCAUUAAUCCAAGGGCAGGGCUCUUCUGGGCACUGGGCCCUCGGUGGCUACCCCAUGAGGCUGACCCUGUUUGCAGGCAAGCAUUACACUCAAAAACCAGGCUUUCCUUCCACACUUGCCUACAGGGAGGACUGCACCAUCAGCAGCACUGUCUGUGACUCCAGAGAACCACCAUGUGGACGUCUGGAUUCCGUAUGCUUUUCGCUAUGAGGUUAGACAGAAAGAGGAUCCUCGCACUGAAUCUUACUGUGCUUUUGCUUCUGAAAAUGAUAGCUUGCUGAUUCAAGGCUGUGAUUUUCAGAACGCAUUCCCAUUUCUAUUUCCAGUCUCGUGUUCCUUAGACUGCCCCAAAAGAAAGCUUUGUGUGUGUGAUGAUUCUUUUUUUUCAAACCCAGCCCAGUAAGCUUUCAAACCCAGUCAAUCAGAAAUGAUACGUGUGCAUAUAAUAUCUAUCUCGCUUGAAUUCCAUCAGUUGAUACAGAGUGUGGGACUGACUAUUUAGAAUAUUUAAUACUGAGAACAAAAGAAUGCCAUUCCUGGAGUUCCCGUCGUGGCUCAGCAGUUAAUGAACCCGACCGGCAUCCAUGAGGACACAGGUUCAAUCUCUGGCCUCCCUCAGUGGCUUAAGGAUCCUUUGUUGCCGUGGCUGCGGCAUAGGCCGGCAGCUGUAGCUCCAAUUAGACCCCUAGCCUGGGCACAUCCAUAUGCCACGGGCACAGCUCUAAAAAGCAAGAAAAAAAAAAA